rnacentral:lncRNA from 1 species
GAGGAAUAUACUGUUAUUACUUCCAUUUUACAGAUGAGGAAGUGCCUGAGGGAAGAUUUACAGCCAUGUCUUGGACAUCAAGUGCUUUGCAAAUGCAAUAGUCCAGUAUGCAGUGGAUGACUUUGGCUUCUUUGAUGUCUGACCAAACUCAAGGCACUCCACAAUACCUGCCUCCUCUGCCUUCACAGCCAGUGGAAGAAACUGCUUUAAUCUGCCCAAACCACUGGAGGAAUUCUUUACAUGCUACAGCUUCUUGGAGUCACAGAUGAAAGUUGGGUGAAAGGUGAACACCAAAAGUAGAUAAGCAGCCCUGAAAAGGCUAGUCCUACCUGAAUACCCCAUAUACACCACAGAGUAAGCAUUUAAUAAAUUGCACAUGGUAAGCAUUUAAUAAAUGUGUGAUCUAUCUAUCAUCUAUCUAUCUAUCUAUCUAUCUAUCUAUCUAUCUAUCUAUCUAUCUAUCUAUCUAUCUAUCUAUUUCUAUCUAGGAGAUAUCCUGCAUUUGGAAAGUGGUCUUGGCUUCCAGGAUUUGUGGGGUGGUCUCAGAGGGAGUCCUGGUGACAUGAGGACAGGUCCCUGGAUGCUCCACAGUUCCAGAGAUCUGUGCCAUUGCCACACACCCAUUGCCUCCAAAAAGUAUGGUGAAGCAAAGCAGACCCUAGCACUGAUUGCCAUAAGGAACCCUGGAGUAAGCUGUCUCCGAGACUGGCCCUGGGACAACACCACACUCCAGUCCCCAGUCUUUCCCCCUCCACUUCACCAACUCUGCAACUGGAAAAGAUUAGCAUCUAAGGAGGUAUGUAGUGGAGGACAAGAGACAGGAGGAGGAAAAGCUCUCCGAUUGCUCCUCCCUUUAAUUAAAAAAGCAUUUUUUGGUAUCAUAAUAUUUUUAAAUUUUAUUUAUUUAUUUGGUUAAUUUAGAAUACUUUCCCAUGGUUACAUGAUUCAGAUUCUUUCCCUCCUCUCCUCCUUCCCCCCUCCCUCUGGUAGCCAAUAAGCAAUUCCACUGGGUUUUACAUGUUUAAGACCUAAUUUAAAAG